rnacentral:misc_RNA from 1 species
CWAGUUGSUMYUGAAGCCCCAUYCUACAAUGGAUAAGAUUUUGGUCUUUGUGUAGGCGGGUUUUUGAAAAUACUGGAUCAAUACCCCAGCUGGGGUAUUGAUCCAGUAUUUAGUCGGGUUUCUUUAUCGGGGUUCUUUAGUAGUUUUUUAGUUCAUUUUUUUUUUGAAGUAUUUUUAUGCUUUUUCUUUCUUUUCUUUGAUUUAGUAUGAUAUUUUUGGUAUGCGCUAAUAUUACUAAWAAAUUUAAUAAAUUCAAAAAUUUCUAAUUUUUGAAUUAGAUUAUUAAUUAGAGUCACAUUUUCUAAUUUUACAGUUAAUUUCAUAGCAAAGAAAAAARACAAWAGAAAGGUUGUAGWUU